UACGAAGGGGGCUAGCGUUACUCGGAAUUAUUGGGCGUAAAGCGUGCGUAGGCGGCCCAGCAAGUUGGAAGUAAAAGCCUCAGGCUUAACCUGAGAAUCGCUUUCAAAACUGCUAGGCUGGAGUAUCAAAGAGGAUAGCGGAAUUCCUAGUGUAGAGGUGAAAUUCGUAGAUAUUAGGAGGAACACCGAAAGCGAAAGCAGCUAUCUGGUUGAUUACUGACGCUGUUGCACGAAAGCGUGGGGAGCAAACAGG
rnacentral:rRNA from 1 species